CACACUGUAAACGAUGGAUACUAGGUGUGGGGGGUCUGACCCCUUCCGUGCCGGAGUUAACACAAUAAGUAUCCCACCUGGGGAGUACGAUCGCAAGAUUGAAACUCAAAGGAAUUGACGGGGACCCGCACAAGCAGUGGAGUAUGUUGUUUAAUUCGACGCAACGCGAAGAACCUUACCAGGGUUUGACAUCUCAGGAAUCUCGUAGAAAUAUGGGAGUGCCCUUCGGGGAGCCUGAAGACAGGUGG
rnacentral:rRNA from 1 species